GCACUUGUAGCUCAGCUGGAUAGAGCACUUGGCUUCGGACCAAGGGGUCGGGGGUUCAAGUCCCUCCAAGUGCA
rnacentral:tRNA from 1 species